rnacentral:RNase_P_RNA from 2 species
GCGGAGGGCUGGAUGGCCGCGGCAGGGGCAACCCUGUCGAGGAAAGUCCGGACUCCAAGAAGAAACGGUGCCGGGUAACGCUCGGGCAGGGCAACCUGACGGAUAGCGCCACAGAGAACAGACUGCCCGUCGCACCCAAGGUGGAUUUCAGGCGCAAGCCGGGGACGAAUCGAGGGGGAUUGUGGACGGGUGAGGGUGAAACGGUGGGGUAAGAGCCCACCGGGGGGCUGGCAACAGCGCUCGCAUGGCAAGCCCCACCGGGAGCAACGCCGAAUAGGGACCCCGCGCGGGAUUGAUCCGGGAAACCGGAUAUCAUCGCAGGGCCGCUUCUGCCCAGGGGUCCGGGUUGGCAGCUUGAGCCACGUAGCAAUGCGUGGCCCAGAGGAAUGGUCAUCUCCGGCAGGGCAACCUGUCGCAGACAGAAUCCGGCUUACAGGCCCUCCGCGCAC